rnacentral:lncRNA from 1 species
AUUGACUAGAUGCAUAGCAGAUGCCAACCGCUAACCUUAUUGUCAGCUAACUUCAGAUCUCUGAGCUAUGCUUCUGGUGAUUUCUAAAGCUUGUGCUCUCUCUGGAGGACCUGGCAUUUACCUUCCAUUGUUUCAAGAUUCUCCUGGCCAGCACAGUCCCUCAGGUUUUGUUUGUGUGUCUUCCACCAGGUGAGAGAAGACUUGCUUUAACACCUAAUAAAU